rnacentral:tRNA from 1 species
GUGUGGCCCAAUGGUAGAGUGCUUGCCUGGUGUGCAGGAGGUCCCGGGUUCGACCCCAGCAC